GACGGCUGAGGAAGUCACCUUCGAGGAUAGGUGGCCGGAAACCGAAAGGUCCCUUAGGGUUUCUUUUCUUUUUUCUUCAUUUUCUUGAAUAUUGGGGGUCCGCCAGGCCAUUUACCCCCACAUCUGGGCUCUACUCGAAAAGAGGAGUGAAAGGGGCGGUUUUGUUUUUUUCAGCCAUCGAGGACGGCGGCGCCGUCGCCGGGGACCGGCACGGUGGCCGAUGACCGGACCCCUGGCCGGAUUUUGG
rnacentral:lncRNA from 1 species